GACGAACGCUGGCGGCGUGCUUAACACAUGCAAGUCGAACGGAAAGGCCCUGCUUUUGUGGGGUGCUCGAGUGGCGAACGGGUGAGUAACACGUGAGUAACCUGCCCUUGACUUUGGGAUAACUUCAGGAAACUGGGGCUAAUACCGGAUAGGAGCUCCUGCUGCAUUGUGGGGGUUGGAAAGUUUCGGCGGUUGGGGAUGGACUCGCGGCUUAUCAGCUUGUUGGUGGGGUAGUGGCUUACCAAGGCUUUGACGGGUAGCCGGCCUGAGAGGGUGACCGGCCACAUUGGGACUGAGAUACGGCCCAGACUCCUGCGGGAGGCAGCAGUGGGGAAUAUUGCACAAUGGGCGGAAGCCUGAGGCAGCAACGCCGCGUGCGGGAUGACGGCCUUCGGGUUGUAAACCGCUUUCGCCUGUGACGAAGCGUGAGUGACGGUAAUGGGUAAAGAAGCACCGGCUAACUACGUG
rnacentral:rRNA from 1 species